GGGUCGGUAGCUCAGUUGGUUAGAGCAGGAGACUCAUAAUCUCUUGGUCGUGGGUUCAAGUCCUACCCGGCCUA
rnacentral:tRNA from 1 species